GAAUUGGGUUGCCUUGCCAAAGUGGGUCAGGCUGGAGCUGGCUGGGGCAUCCUCCAAUAAGAGACACGUGGGUGUCUUGGUUGCAGGAGGUGCCCCGGUCCCUAGCAGGCAGUACGUCCAACUGGGGACUGACUGUUGCCAAUUUGUAGCUGCCUCCUCACGCUGUUUUUGUGUGUGUGUGGGCAUGUGGCGUUUCCCUCCACCUGGGAGAAUAUGCAGGCGGUUAGGGCCCGCCCUAGCUCCACAAGCCUGUAGACCCAACGCCUGCUGAAGGGGUGCCUACUGCGCCUACACCUGCAGAGCUCUUCAGGGUAGGUGGGGAUCUGGAAAAAGGCCCCGGGUCCAGGAAGGGCUGACCACACGAUGCAGGCUCUAGGGGAACGAGAUGUCUGCCUAAUUGUAACCCCUAACCAGACAAUGGCGCCCAUCAUCCACUGAAGGCCACUUGGAGGGGACCCACCGCCUUGCCAGGGCCGGGCGGGCUGCCCAGAGUGUCCUCCAAUAAGACACACCUAGGAGCCCUGGUUGCUGGAGAGGCUGCGGCUACUUGGGGCUUGAUGCAGGAGGGUUAACUGCACUUGCAGGUCCCGAAUAUCCCCCUGGAGCAAGAGGAAACAGGUCCUAGACUUGGGGCCCGCAUGGAGACAGGCCCGGCUCAGGAACGGCAGGUCACUAUGAAGUGCUAUUAUGGGAAACAAAGCAAUGUCCAAUGCCCUACCUAUAAAAAGGAGGACAUCCCCCUGAAGCCAGAUAUCUCAAGACCCCUGAAGCCUUGCUCGGUGGGACAAGAGCGUCUUAGAAUAAGAGACACCUGGAACCCUUGUUCCUGGAGAAGGCCAGAUCUCCAUCAGGCAGAAAGUCCAAAUGGCGACUGACUGUGAGCAAUUUGCCACUGCCGCCUCAGAGUGAUAUUUGCAGGGUGGGCUCCCUCCCCGCUGGAGCCUAUGCUGGUGUUUGGGUUCGAAACUAGCUCCAUAGGCCGGGAGGACCGCAGCUGCUGUAGGCCGGCUGAUGGGAUGCGUUCUGCGCAUGCGCGAGCCGUGCAGUUCCUGGUAGCCAAGGACCACGAACAGGGCAAGAGUGGGGAGAGGUGGGGUUGCAGGAGCAGGACCUUGGGGAACAAGGCCUCUGCCUAAUUCCGAACGCUAAGCUACACAAAGUGCCUGUUCCCCCUGACGGCAGAACAUGAGGAUACCGGCGUGGGCGGGCUGGCUGCUGUAUCCUGCAAUAAGACACACCUGGCAGCCCUGGUUGCUGAGAAGCAGAGACCUCAUCAAACAGAAGAUUAGCCCUGAGCUAACAUCUGCUGCCAAUCCUCCUCUUUUUGCUGAGGAAGACUGGCCCUGAGCUAACAUCCGUGCCCAUCUUCCUCUACUUUAUAUGUGGGACACCUACCACAGCAUGGCUUGCGAAGAGGUGCCAGGUCUGCACCCGGGAUCCGAAGUGGUGAACCCUAGGCCGCCGAAGUGGAAUGUGUGAACUUAACUGCUGUGCCACUGGGUCAGGCCCCAAGACAAAGUUUUUAAUGAAGAUUGUAAGAAAAGAUCUGGUGGUUAAAUAUAGGGUUAUUGGUGUCCUGGAAUGAGGCAGGAAAAAGAGAGGGAAAGACAGAUGCUGAGAUACAGAGGUACGGACACAUAUGGUAUACGGAAAGUUGUACAUAUAGGGUAAUGCAGCUGCCUCAAAUCCUCUUUGGAAUGAGAUGAGGUGUAAGUUUAUUGAUGAGUAAAAAUAAACUGUUUAACUGAGAAAGACACAGGUAGAUCUAGAGAAAUGCAGACAGAGAGACACAGAGGCAUAUCCACUAGACAAAUGGACAAAUACCCCGCACACCAUAUGCACCUCCAUACAAACCAAAUGUAGAAUGCAGAAGGACUCACUUACAUUAGGCCCUUUUUGGAACAAAGUGGGCUAUUAAUUAAAUAAUGAAUAACUAAAAGUGUUCCAUGAAGAGAGACAUGCCAAGGCCGCUAGGACUCAGAAACUCGGAUUAAAAUGCAUUGAGAUACAGCUCACAGACAGACACACCUGCACUGCUCUUUCUCAUAAUGACAUACUUACCCUGAAGUCUUUUAGGAUUUUGCCAUUAAAGCCAUUUAAAGCUAUGCUUCUUUUUAGCAUCAUGUGAAAAUAUAAAUUCUUGGCAUUUGCCUACUAAACUAUAUUAAACCCAUCAGAGGGUAGAUUUUGGCUCAAGAACUGGAGAGUCCUUAAUUCUGGCUUACUUUUAGUAAUAACAUAAUGUCUAUUAUCAUUAGCUCACAAUUACUCGAGUAGUUUAAUAUACCUUAAAAUUGUAAGAGUAGUUAUUAAGGUCCUGUUUCAAUAAGCUAUUAAUGAUUAUAUAAGCAAUAAGACAUUCACGUGGGAUAAUUCCUUACAUUUAUUUUUCAGGGCAGAGCAAAUUUUUUUAAUUUUUAUUUUGGUGAGGAACAUUGGCCCUGAGCUAACAUCUGUUGCUAGUCUUCCUCUUUUUGCUUGAGGAAGAUUGUCACUGAGCUAACAUCUUUGCCCAUCUUCCUUUAUUUUGUAUGUGGGAUGCUGCCACAGCACAGCUUGAUGAGCAGUAUGUAGGCCUGCAUCCAGGAUCUGAACCUGCAAACCCUGGGCCUCCGACAUGGACAGAGUGAACUUAACCAUUACGCCACCAGGCUGGCCCCCACAGCAAAUAUUUUCAGUGGUAGGGCAUAUGAGAAAUGAAUCGUUCUAUCAGUAAUUGUAAAUUUCACCUUUCUUGAAAUAAUAUGGUACUUGAGGACUGAUUUUACAUAUUACUAUCUUUUUCUUUAAAAGUGAGUUUUUAACUGCAAGAUUGUUUUUCUAGCCAAAAAUUUAAAAAUGUUAACAUUCCAUUAACAUACAAAAGGCACUGCUAAUACACAUCUUGCCUCAUUGUUGAAGUUCAUGAUGAUUUCAGACAUGAGAAUUGGUUAAUCUCUAGGAUGUAGGUGAUGUGCUGAUGUAGAUCACGUACCAUGAUUGUUGAGAAAAAUGAUCUCACUUAUUGUGGAUAGAAAAGAUUGCAUACCUCUGCAGAGGAGGCAAACUUUUAUGGGUUUUUUUUUUUUUUUUAAGAUUUUAUUUUUUUCCUUUUUCUCCCCAAAGCCCCCCAGUACAUAGUUGUAUAUCCCCCGCUGUGGGUCCUUCCAGUUGUGGCAUGUGGGACACUGCCUCAGCGUGGCCCGAUGAGCAGUGCCAUGUCCGUGCCCAGGAUUUGAACCAACGAAAUUCGAACCAACGAAACUCUGGGCUGCCUGCAGCGGAGCGCGCGAACUCAACCACUCGGCCACGGGGCCAGCCCCCAAACUUUUAUGUUUUUAAAACAGAAAAAUAAAAUUUCUUGAUUUAGAAUUUUCAGAUCACUGAAAAAAAACUAUGUCUUUUUAAGGCAAAUGCCAAAAAUAUCAAAUGAGAUCAAUGCAGAUUUUGUUAAUGCAUCACAAAUUAUUGAAACUAUAUUUUUAAAGCUCUAUGUUCUCAAUGUGUUACUAGAUGACACAUUGUCAAAUAAUGAAAUAUCAAGUGCAAAUAAGACAUGAACUGUCAUGUUAUUGGUGGUAAAAACUUAACUGAAUUGUAAAGGACUGCCAAAGAUCUAAAAUUUAUGAUUUGCUUAUGAGCUAAAAUUAAAGGAUGAUGUGUCAAGAUACCUGUGGUAGGCAGCCUCUAACAUGGCAACGGGUUUUCGCUUCUUGAUAUUCAUGUAGUUGUGUAUUCCCCUCCUACGGUGAAAGAAAUGUCUUGUGUAACUAAUGGGAUAUUGCAAGUAGCAUGGAGUUUGGCUUCCAAAGCUAUUUCAUAAAAUAGGUUGCAGCUUCCAUUUUGUUCUCAUAUGAGCUCUGGGAGUAAGCCAGCUGCCAAGUCAUGAGGAUACGGAAACAGCUGUAUGAAAGAUCCCUGUGACCAGGAACUGAAACCUGGCAGCAGCCGUGUGAGCGAGCCAUCAUGAAAGCAGGUCCUCCAGCCCCGGUCAUGCCUUCGGAUGGCUGUGGCCCUAAUCGACAUCUUGACUACAACCUCAUGAAAUGCAGUGAGCCAGAAAUAACUCACGGGAUGAGAUCGGGAAAAUUUUUCUAUACUCCAUAGAUAAUUCCAAUUCAUAGCCAAUAUUGAGAACGGCGGAGACGCUCUCGGGAAUUAGUUUCCAGACUGAAGAGAGUUUAGAGUGGGUCUACUGUGGACAGAGAACAAGGACACUCAGAAGCUCUGCUGGAGACCUGCUCAUUAGAGGAAGAGCCACUGGUCCUGGUCACUCAGAGCUCAUCAACAGAGGCUGUUCAGCUGUCUAUACUUGGAUAAGUCAAAUAGCUAAUUAAGAUCCUCUCAGCAAGAGCGGAAAAGAAAACCUUAGGGGUCAGUGUUCACUUGGCUUAUAUAAUUAUUGUAAGUCAAGGAUUAUAAAUUAAGCUGAGAAAAUGCCAGGAGUUGAAUGUAUAAAAGAAUAUGUAUCCUGUGUGCGUAGGG
rnacentral:lncRNA from 1 species